rnacentral:rRNA from 1 species
GGGGGAUAACGUAGCGAAAGUUACGCUAAUACCGCAUAUUCUCUCCGGAGGAAAGCAGGGGACCGCAAGGCCUUGCGCUCUUUGAGCGGCCGAUAUCAGAUUAGCUAGUUGGUGAGGUAAAGGCUCACCAAGGCGACGAUCUGUAGCGGAUCUGAGAGGAUGAUCCGCCACACUGGAGCUGAGACACGGUCCAGACUCCUACGGGAGGCAGCUGUGGGGAAUUUUGGACAAUGGGGGCAACCCUGAUCCAGCCAUGCCGCGUGAGUGAAGAAGGCCUUCGGGUUGUAAAGCUCUUUCGGCCGGGAAGAAAUCGCAUGGGCCAAUACCCUGUGCGGAUGACGGUACCGGCAUAAGAAGCACCGGCUAACUACGUGCCAGCAGCCUCGGUAAUACGUAGGGUGCGAGCGUUAAUCGGAAUUACUGGGCGUAAAGCGUGCGCAGGCGGUUUUGUAAGACAGGCGUGAAAUCCCCGGGCUCAACCUGGGAACUGCGUUUGUGACUGCAAGGCUAGAGUACGGCAGAGGGGGGUGGAAUUCCACGUGUAGCAGUGAAAUGCGUAGAGAUGUGGAGGAACACCAAUGGCGAAGGCAGCCCCCUGGGUCGAUACUGACGCUCAUGCACGAAAGCGUGGGUAGCAAACAGGAUUAGAUACCCUGGUAGUCCACGCCCUAAACGAUGUCAACUAGGUGUUGGGUGGGUAAAACCAUUUAGUACCGGAGCUAACGCGUGAAGUUGACCGCCUGGGGAGUACGGCCGCAAGGUUAAAACUCUAAGGAAUUGACGGGGACCCGCACAAGCGGUGGAUGAUGUGGAUUAAUUCGAUGCAACGCGAAAAACCUUACCUACCCUUGACAUGUCCAGAAGCCUGAAGAGAUUUGGGUGUGCCCGAAAGGGAACUGGAACACAGGUGCUGCAUGGCUGUCGUCAGCUCGUGUCGUGAGAUGUUGGGUUAAGUCCCGCAACGAGCGCAACCCUUGUCGUUAAUUGCCAUCAUUCAGUUGGGCACUUUAACGAGACUGCCGGUGACAAACCGGAGGAAGGUGGGGAUGACGUCAAGUCCUCAUGGCCCUUAUGGGUAGGGCUUCACACGUCAUACAAUGGUCGGUACAAAGGGUUGCCAAGCCGCGAGGUGGAGCCAAUCCCAGAAAGCCGAUCGUAGUCCGGAUCGUAGGCUGCAACUCGCCUGCGUGAAGUCGGAAUCGCUAGUAAUCGUGGAUCAGCAUGUCACGGUGAAUACGUUCCCGGGUCUUGUACACACCGCCCGUCACACCAUGGAGCGGGUUCCGCCAGAAGUAGGUAGCCUAACCGCAAGGGGGGCGCUUACCACGGCGGGGUUCGUGACUGGGGUGAAGUCGAACAAGGUA